UUUGACUCUCCCACUGACUAGCUCCGUGAUCCUGGGUCGGUAACUUGACCUCAUCCUCAUUUCUUCAGCUGUAAAAUGAGGAGACAGUGGGAAAACCAGUCCAGGCGACAAGGGCAGAAAUUCCCCAAGGAAAUAGGAAAUUUCAACAUUCACAUCUAUUGACUCACUUCAUCCACAAGGGAGGAAACUUGGAAGCCAAAGAAAAGCAUAAAGAAAAAACAAAAUCCUCUGCUACCCAGAAAUAACCUAUCAACAAUUUGUAUUUUUUGGUCUUUAAAAAAAAAAUAAAGCUGG